rnacentral:sRNA from 1 species
GGAUGUGAGAAGGAUCUGACUGUGACACUGUUCACACAGCUGAUUGCCAGAGUUCAUUCAGUUGAUCUGGCCGUCUAGAUGGUGUCUCCUUCCUCUCUCACUCCUCCAUGUGCAUCCAUCCCUCCCAAGCUCUGUCCAAGAGAACGAUCUUCCCUGGUACUCCUUACAUGCCCCAGCAGAGCUAGGCGCUCCUGUACUCUGCAAAAUGGAAUGGGAUAUAUUGCUGGACAGCAGCUGAUAAGGACAGAAAGGAAAGAGCAUGGUGCCCGGUGGGUGCCAGAUGCUGUGC